ensembl:lincRNA
AUGAAGAAAUUGAUUAAAAGUAAUUUGUGAUGGUUUGGAAUGAUUUGAAGAAGAAACGACCUGUUAGGUUAUACUCUUUAAUGUGCAAGAAAGAACAGUUCUCUAGGAUAACAGCCUUGGUUCUAAUCCUACUUCUUUUGUUUCUCUGUUGCUGGAAAAGGGAGGAGGUUUGUGGUUAUUUUCCAUUGCUUUCUCUCAAAGAGUAUAGCUAUUUCUAUAAACAUCCCUGGAUCUUUGCCCUCAUCCCUCAUUCCUCUCCAUGGAGGUAAAGCCAACUACCUGACUGAUGGGUGACAAUUUGUUGGAACUAAUACCAGAUUUCCCAAGAGCCCAGAAUAAUUGUUUCUUGUCCUCAUGUUCACUGCUAAACCAGUAUCAGCAAUCAAAGCAAGCGGCUUUCUGCAGCAUACUAAUUGUCCCUGUGUAUUUUCCCAGUCCUGAUAGAAUACAGACAAUAGAGAGACCCAGAGAUUAUUGGAGCCACAGAUGGAAAGAUCCUGGGUCCCUGAAUCGCCAUGGAAGAUAUUCUCCUGAUAUUUGGGUAAAUAUCCUGAAUUGCUAAGUGACUAAGAAAGAGAAUCCUAUUGAACUGUGCCAUUUAAAAUAUGGGCAUUUAUUUGUUAAAGCAUCUAGUGCUAUCCUGAGCAAUGCUGAAAUUGUUUUUUAAAAAUUUACUAUGCAGUGUAUUCAUUUUAAAUUGAUGCAUUUCAUAUUUUUCAAUUUGAAUUUUGCUUUAGGGGAUAUAUACAAACACACAUCUAUAUAAACAUAUAUGUACCUUUCAAUAGGACAUGCAUAAACAAUAUGCUAAUUUUAAAAUUUGCCAUUUUCUUUGGUGUUCUCCACUGUUAGAGCACCCAGAAUUUGGGAAGUUUUGGAGAAGAAUGCCUUCUUUGUAACCAGACUUCUUGGGGUCAGAUGGUUGAGGGUUUUUUUCUUUCUUUCUUUUUUUUUUUUUUAAUGUUUGUUACUCAUAGACAUAGAUGAGGAGAUUUUAUGUAAGACAACUGGUUUCUUGUUUUUAUUAGUCAUGGCUGAUCUCAUUGUUAUGAUUAUGGUUUCAUUUAAAAGAGGAGGUGUUAAAAAAAAACUUACUGAAGGAAAGGAAAGAGCAACUUACCAUUUCUUCCUUGUCAAACUAAAAUAAUAUCUAUUGCAUUGGUAAGGAUCCUAUACAUGAGGAAAUGCCAAAGGUUUGAGAACCCGUAGUAUGUGCCCAUUACAUGAAAUAUAUCAUAAGUCCACAAGGAUUUUUGUAAAAUUUUGAAACAGAUACAUUAGGAAUCCACAUUUCCUUCUUUAGGGAUUCUGUUGUAAUAACCUAUGUUUCUAUUCUAAUUCAAAUGCUAUUUCUUCACCUAUCAAAUCAAAAUGAUAUAAAAAUAGAAAUUACAAAAUAAUGUAGAGCCACUGAGUGUCUUACCUGUAAUAUUAUGGACUUCGUAGACAAAAUUCACACCAAACAGAACUAUGUUCUGAAAGGCAGUAAAGUUACUGAUGAAGGGUGCCCUAUCCCCAGGAACAAGCAUUCUUGGUGGCAGGCCCUUCUGGAAGUUACGGACUCUAAUCAAAGUUGUAGGAAAGAGUGAUGCAGCUAAAUAAUCCACACAAGUAGCCCAGCUUCUUUGGAAAUCUGCUUCUUCUUUAGAAUAAUAUUUAAAUCUAAUUCAGAAAUAGGAAAAGGAUUGUAAUUACAGUUAGUCUACUGAAACUUUUACCAUGUCAGUUUCAAAAAAGAUGAUUUGCUCAACAAACUAUAUUUUUCCCGUUUUAGAAUACAGAAGUUAGACAAUAUUGAUGAAUAGCCCCUACAGUUUUUUUUUGAAAUGUGAAGAGAGGGUCUUAGAAGUUUAAACUUGUGAAGGAGCAUACCUUAAAUUUUAAUUUUAUUAGGAUUUUCUCCAUUUAAUAAAGCAUGCUAAAUUUGCAUACCAGCUAAACCUAUGUCUAAGUCACAUUUAUUUUUUGAAAUGUAAAGGUAAGAAGCAAAUGUGCUAAGACAGAAUUUCUUCAGACUUGCUCAUCUCUCAAGGAAUAGCUGAUUUCCCAUGUCGGGUAAAGACUAAAAAUGAAAGAUCUUACAAUGAGAUCCUUUUAAUGUUUUUUUUCCCCAUAUAAUUGGGGAGGAAAAUAUUCACAUGUAAAUUUUAAGUCUGUAGAUAAGAGUUUUACAGUUAUACAGUCUGUACCUGUCACACCCAGCGGUCUAAGCAUGAUGAACGACUUUCAGUUUUGUAAACAAGCUUAUUAACUUUGAAACUUUUACCCUAAUAAGCUUCCAACUUCUUCAAGACUUAUCUUGCCACAACAUUCCUGAAGCUUGUCUGUCUGUCUUGAGCAUUUAGUAUCAAGCUAAACAAUACAAGCAUGGAGGCUGGAUGCAGGAGACAUGGAAAGAAAUUUACAAUGCAACCUCUGGUUCACAUCUAGUGAAAGAAAUACAUAUGCAAAUAUGUGAUUCAUAGGAAAUUAUGGGAACACAAAGAAGAAAGGAAUAGUUAUGCCUUUGAUGAUAGAAGAAUUUGGCUAACAUUUUAUGCUUCUUCUCUAAUCAGUAUAGCUGACUCUGAAACUUAAGAAAGAGAAAAUGUGAAUUCAUAAGGUCUUUUGUAAGGGUCCUAAUAAUAGCACAAUUAGACAUUAAGUGGAUUACAGGGGAGCACAUGGCAGAGGUGAAAAGAGUUGAAGAGACCAGGGGCACAAGAGCAAAGUGAAUCUCAGAAUGCAAACUUAGUUAGAAAGAGGGUAUUUGCAGAUAUAAUUAGUUAAAAUGAGGUCAUACUGAUCACAGCAGACCCUAAAUCCAACGUCUCUGUCCUUUAUCAGGAGAUUGAGAUUUGUAGAUUCCAAGAAGGAAGAUGGUCACGUGAAGACGGCAGAUUGGAGUGGUGAAGCUACAAGCAAAGGAAGAAUAAGAUGGGUAUUAAGCACACUUCUGAAGUCCUGUAUUGAAUGAAUACAGAAAGAGAAAAAACCAUGGAAGCAAGAAACCAGAAAGAGAUGGGAGAGAACAGCAAGCAUUGCCAUGUGCCGUGUCACGUGACAGGGGGCCAAGGAUCAACAGCAGCCAGUCUUGAGAGGAAAGCAUCACCUUGAUCAUACCUUG